rnacentral:rRNA from 1 species
CCCUUAGAUGUUCGGGGCCGCACGCGCGCUACACUGAAGGAAUCAGCACGUCUUUCUCCUUGUCCGAAAGGACUGGGUAACCCGCUGAACCUCCUUCGUGCUAGGGAUUGGGGCUUGUAAUUCUUCCCCAUGAACGAGGAAUUCCCAGUAAGCGCGAGUCAUAAGCUCGCGUUGAUUACGUCCCUGCCCUUUGUACACACCGCCCGUCGCUACUACUGAUUGGAUGUUUAAGCGAGGUUCUCGAACUGCUAGCGACUUAGCUUCGGUGAGGUCGCAGUGUGGGAAGUGAACCUAGCUUUGGUGUCUAGAGGAAGUAAAAGUCGUAACA